rnacentral:rRNA from 1 species
UAAGUAGGUGGCAAGCGUUGUCCGGAAUUAUUGGGCGUAAAGCGCGCGCAGGCGGUUAUGUAAGUCUGAUGUUAAAGCCCGGGGCUCAACCUCUGUUCGCAUUGGAAACUGCGUAACUUGAGUGCAGAAGAGGAAAGUGGUAUUCCACGUGUAGCGGUGAAAUGCGUAGAUAUGUGGAGGAACACCAGUGGCGAAGGCGACUUUCUGGUCUGUAACUGACGAUGAGGCGCGAAAGCGUGGGGAGCAAACAGG